AUGUAUUUCCACAGCAGCAGCUCUGUCUCCUGUUUAUAUGUAGCUUUUAAUGAUGUAAAAAUCACCACUGUUGACAAUGCCUGUUAUAUCACACACCACUUUGUAUAUGUAAAGCUUUUUCUGCUGAGUAGAGGAGCCUGGACUCUCAGUGCGGUGCUCGUCCAUUUAGAGCAGUUUUUGUACAAUGCAUGUAAUGUCUGUAACCUCCAGCCCCCGCCCAUCAUACAUCGUUUUCUACCCAGUACAUAACAAUGCCUUUUAAUAUACAGUUACUCCCUUUAUACCUAUGGAAUGGCACAUGUUUGUAUGAAGACUAAAGAGUCUUUGAAAAUGUUUGAAAACCUGGAAGUGAAAAGAAAGAAACAUGUUCUCUUCUUCUCUUGUCCUGCCUGGUCCUUCCUGUCCUCGCUCUUUCUCUCCACGUCCUCCAAUCUGUCAGCAGCUGCAGGCCGGCGUCGCUCUGAAGGUCAGCCGUCGGCCUGUGUAGUCGAGCAAAGCUUUCAUAUUUACAAAAUGGAAAUCUGACAUUUGGGAAAUGAAGUCUUCAUUUCGGCGAUGUUUAAAGCCUCUCCGGUUCAGGUUUCCGUGACAAAGUGUACAGACUGCCUGCACGCAGCUCUCUGGGGCUGCAGAGGUGAGCAUCAGUAUGUAUACAGGAAGGGAGACAGCACAGUCAUACUGUUUAUACAGAGAACAUGCUGCACAUCUACCCUGCUCGAGGAUAAAUAGGAAAGCCUCUUUUCCAUUUUAUUUCCACUGAUAACAAAAAGGCAUUUGCAAUGCGAGUACUCAGGCUGAUUUCUGAAAGACUUGACGCAUCUGUAGCUUGCACUGCAGCUAAAUAAACGUCAUCUGCACGUCACGCUAGCAAAUAAAGUGAUGAGAGGUGCACCGUUAUCAGUCUCGGCUGUUUCCUCAUCGUGCUGAACGCGCAAACGGUUAAUCAUCAAACUGGCUGUUCUGUUAUACACUAGUUUAAUGUAACGUAGCUCGCACUGCACGUUAAUGUAGUUUAUUUUGUUGAAAUACUUCAAAACAUCACUAUUAUGCCUGGUCGUCAUUCUGCCUGUAACAGUAGAUUAUGUGGUACUGAAAGCUUUGAUCAUUUUCUGCGCAGAAUUUUUCCUGUAGAAUUAUGCAAGUACUCUAUACUUUGAAUGAAUACUGACGUCCAAAUCCAGUACUCAUGAAUGAACAAAAUCAAAAAUGUAACAUUACAAGACUGAUUGCAAAAAAAAUUAUAAAAACCUAUUCAUAACAGAGGAACUAAGACAGAAAAACAAUACCUACUGGAAUCCUACAAUAUGUAAUUUCUGCCGCUAUGGGGAUCUCUCGCAUCAAUCCAAUAAUAAAAGACAUUUGGUGACAUUGUGAGGUAGUUGUUGUCUUCACCACCAUUGCCAGUUAGGAUUCCUGCAGUGUACAGAAGAUUUUUACCGGGAGCAAAAUCAUCCACAGAGGUCUCUUCUUCUCCAAAACAAACAGACCUGGUGAUUAAAACCAGUAAAAACACUGAAUAAAUCAAUUUCACCUUAAAAAUCAGUGUUUCUCUGAUGCUGUUCAGCAGAAAAAAGACAGGUUUGAACAUCUGGCAAAAUGUGCACAACUCAACACAAUAUAUGAGACAGGUCUCGUAUUUAUAGACAUUUUAAUGUGGAAACAUGAUAUGUGUAACUUGUUACAGGGCCCAAGCCUUAAUAAUCAGCUGCAAAUUGAUAUUGUACUGUCAUAAUUAACUCUCACACUCUUUGACACCUGGAAGUAAAGCUUUAUUUUACACUUCUUUAUUAUUUUUUAAGUAAUAUUCCUGAAAAGAACUCAAAAGAACAAUUUGGUUAGAGUGAGAAUUAUCUAAAUAUUCAUUGAUUUAUUGAUUAUUGGGCAUAUGAUUUAUUUAAUUGUUAAACUGUGUAUUUGCCUAAAGACAAAUGCCAUAUUUUUGCAUUCAAAAACACGAGGUUACACAAGAAAUUCAUUGGAAUUGAUUAACUGGAAAGAAUUGAACACUGUCUCUUUAUGUUCUCUAUAAUUAGAACCAAAUUAUGGUUCUUUCCAUGGAACUUCUUGAAAAGUAUUCCCAUAAAAUAAAGCCAUACCACUCGGAGGGGAGUUGCCCACUUUGCCCAGCUAGUAAUUCAGGCUUGCCUGGUCAGGGUCACAGGUGAUUGGAAAGUGUCCCAGCAUGCAUUGGGCAAGAGGUAGGUUUUACACACUGGGAAGGUAAGUCACUGACUGUAAAUGUAACCUGUGUGUGUUGGAUGUGGGGGAACAGACCAGCUGAACUUUAUAAAGAACUUGCUGUGAGGAGACAGUGGUUUCACUGAUGAGUCAUUAUUAAUUCAAUUUCUAAAGAAAUGAAUUAAAAGUUCUGGUUCAGAUACGUAAGUCUUAAACAUUUGACAAAGAAAGGAGUUCCGAGGAUAGAAUUAUGAGGGAUUUUGCAAUGAAUUUCCCAAAAAUUGUUCGGGAGUAUCCCAGACAACGCCAGGAAGUCACUGUUUUUUUUGUCCUCUCGUAUCAUUAAGGAGACACUUCAUUACUGAAUACCUUCCUCAGGAAUGGCUCUGACCACAGGAUUCCUCUGCAUGUGGUAAGAAAUUAUGAGUAAUCAUGAACUGUUCAUGUUUUACCUCCCGACUCUGGAGACUGAAUGUGCAGCAGAGACAGGCGUGGGAGUGUGAUGUUGUCCUCUGUACAUUGUUGCUCAGUGACUGAUAUUAAAAAUGUUUGAUUAUAAUUCACUUUUUGACAGUAGCAAGAUAUUGGUGGGUUUUUCUUUAGUUAACCACCUCAUGAAGAAAGCCCUGACGUGGCAUUUCCCUGCUGUUACCAUGUGUUUUCCGAAAGAGGUGUGACUCCUGGUAGCUGUUCUCAUCUGUAUCUCCUUAAGUCUAAUUGCAAUUUAAUUCAGUUUUUACAUGGAUCAUGGUCAACUCUAUGAGCUUUAAUUUCCUCUCUCUAUCUCCCAAAUCCAGAGGAAGGACUGGUGCUAAUGUGCUGAACGCUGCGUUUCAUGGAGGGUUAUUAUGUUUACAGUGGAAAAGUGAGUCAUGUUUUGUCUGGAGUGCCUGCUAGUCUCGCUCCAAGUGAUGACAGUCAGGAUGGUGGGGCUGCACAGCUCUAAUAGUCAGCUAAUGAAAGCCUUAUGAAGUGCUUUCAAGGUGAAUUUGGUGGAGUGACGGCAGAGCCUGUGGGAGUGCGGUGUGAUACUUCCCAGAAGGCCCAGUGACAGGAAAACGCUCACAAUCAGGAGGUAAGUAACAGCCCCAGUAACAGAAGAAAAUUGUUUCUUAAUCCAUUAUAAUAUGUGAUGAAUUUAAUGCAACAUAAAUGUAAUUUGUGCUAUCUUCAUAUUUUCUAUCCUAAACUCAACUCGUCUGGUAAAUUUUUCACCUGAAAGCAAUCCCAAAACAGGAAGCAGGAAGAAGAUAAUCCAUCACAGUGAACGUCAUGCCUGCUUUUAUUCUUGGAACACUGCGUCUUUGUUGAAGCAGCAAUAAAAGCAGAUAUGAUAUGUACUCAAGCAAGUUUCUG
ensembl:lncRNA